AGUUCUACGACAGACGACGAGCCGGCGGACCACUGUGAUGAAAGUGGUGGGGCUGCCUUUGGUGCACACACUCACUAAAACACGGGCCCAAGUGGCACUUGGGCUCCCCAUCCCCUCUGCGCAAUGAACGACUUAUCUUUCUUCGUGCUACAGCACCAGAGACGGACACUCACGCCGCAGCUACUUCGCGACACGCUGGAUUUUGCUAAACCACACGCUGAGGAGGGUGCUCUCUUCAGUUGGCGUUGGCACUUCUUCCUCGGGACGCUGCCGCUCCCGGCGGAGGAUGACAUGAAGCUUGACGACUGCCGAGCCGCUUGCGAGCAAUGGCGGCGGCAGUGGCAGGAUGCAGGUCGACGACUCGAUCAGUCUAUUCGUGAGUCACCACGCAAAACUGGAAAAACCAUAAAAUUUGGCGAAUCGAGUAGUGACAGCGAGGAUGCGUUGCCCCCACCUUCUGCAGUUGCUCCCUUGUCUGCGUUGAGCACGAGUGGGGAUGGGUGCACAGUGAACCCCCUCGCGCCCGCCUCGGAGAGCUCGUACGCGCUGCAGUUUCAGGCAGACAUGGUGCGGCAGACGGUGGCGAAGGACAUGAGCCGCCUCUCUUGGGAUGCCCCUCCCUUUCACGACGUGCGAGCCAAGGAGACAGUAGCGGAUAUUCUGCUCAAAUACAGCCUGGUGGAGAACAAGGACUACAUGCAGGGAUUUCACGAGAUUGUGGCGUUUCUCUACUACGCUUGUUAUCGCGACAAGGUCCUGGGCGAACGUUUUGUGCAAGAGCACCCGGCGCUGCGCUCGGCCGCCUUCUUCGAAUUGUUCGAGCUGGUCUACGCCGAUCUGCCGGCUGCGGUGUAUGCCCUCUUUCGACGGGUCAUCAGUGAGAAAGACGGCGGCAUGUGCCUCGCCAAGUGGUACUAUAGCAAUGCUCAUGGAGAACAGAGUGGGGUGGUAUUAGCGUGCCAGCGGGUGCAGAAGGACCUGCUCUCGCGCGUCGAUCCUGUGCUGCAGAACUUGCUGGACACCGUGUACGGGAUUGAAAGUGUCGUGUAUCUUGUGCGUUGGCUGCGCCUCCUCUUCUUGCGCGAGUUUCCGUUUGAGCAAACGCUGCGGAUAUGGACUACACUUUUCUGCGAGCGCUACAUUGUUGUUGAGCAGCAGAAGACUACAUUCGCAUUGAACAACAGCAUCGCCUUGUACUUCGCCGCGCAGAUGCUCUGCCAUGUGCACGACGCCCUGUCGGUUGACGCUGCAGGUGCACUGCAGGUGCUGAUGAAGUACCCUCCCACGAAGCACGUCGACGACAUGCUGUACGCAGCCGCCAUCAAUAACAGUGAGUCGCCUCUCUCUCGCCACGCGAAGGCGCCGCGGCUUGUCGACGCGAAAGAUGCACCUGCGCUACCGGCAGAGGUAACGUUGCGCCAGGGGGAAGUCCUGGCGCGGGUUAUAGGGAGCCUCGAGCAGUACUGGUUCCGCGACGCCAGUGCCACAGUGGAGGAGCAAGCGCUGACGACGGAGAUGUACGUCCAAUCCAUCGCCCAGCUGAAAAAGGUGCGCGACGUUUUGCUUUACGGCAUGGGCGACGAAGCCUAGAGCCGUCUCCUCUGCUGCUGCCCUGACAAGGUCGCCAGCAGCUAUAUAAACAAGGACACCUGCACAGGUGUCGGGCCCCAGCUAGCGUUGCUCUCUGCUCACCGACUCACACGCGAAAGCGUUUCUGUCGGACAAAUAAACUUUUUGACUCGUUGAGGCGGGACGGUUUCUCGUUUUUGCGCAGAUGCCGUUAGCGUGCGCCAUUCAAUCG
rnacentral:misc_RNA from 1 species